CUGGGUCUCAACCAAAGUGAUUUGGAUUUAAUUGAUCUGGUGAGUAGCUAGGUCAUUAAGAUCUUUUAAGAAUCUCCCCAUGUUAUUACAAUGUGUAGCCAAGUUUGAGGCCAAUGUUUACUUACAGGUGAAUCCAUUAAAAGGGCUAAUGACAAUGAAGUUAGUGUAGGCACCUCACAUUCCAAGGGUCUGAGCACAGGGGAAAUAGUAAAGUGUUCAUCCCAUUUGUAUGGAUUUGUGUGUUGCCUGUGUUUUUGACCAUGGCAGAGAUGGGGUUAUUAAGGUGGAAUCCACUCUAUGGAAUUACCAUAAUCUUGGUGGUAACAUGUUUCUGGUAACAUGUUUCUGGUAACAUGCACUUACAGAAGCAAUGUUUAUUAUGUGGGUUUAAAUUUUACUUGGUUGGGUUCUUAUCUUCUCUCUCCUGUUCUACUGUGUUAGUUCCUUAACCAGAAUUCCUGAGAGCACAUGAUGUUCCAGUAGUUGUGCAGGGAUAAGAAUAUAGCAGUGAAGGAAUAUAAAGAGCCUCAUUCUCUUCUAGCCCCCCUGCUUCAGAAAAUGUUACCUUCAUGUUUAUAAAAGGAUUGUGCUGAUAUGUUGUUACUUUGAUGCCUAUUGUGAGACAUGCAUUAGACUGAAAAUCAGCAAACAUGAGGACUGGUCCUAACACUGACUCAUCCAGGUUGGAUAUCAUGUCUUUGGAGAAGUCUUCUCUGCACCCCUCUCCCAAUAAAGCUAAACAUUCUUCCAC